CCAGCUCCAGAGGCCGCGCGGUGCGUCACAGAGGCCGCGGGAAGGUGCGUCUGGGGCUGAAACCGCCCGGCUCAACCGUCCCGGCGCCGGUACUGCAGGCUCCACCUCAGACUAGAUCUGCCUACUUCCAGGAAACACACCAGUGCCACUUCGAUCCAAACCAUCAUUGUUUCCUGCCGAGAUGAUUAAAACAGCUUACAAACUGGUCUCCCUACUUCCACCGACGCCUCCCUUCAGUCUGUUCUCACCCCAGGAACCAUGUGAUCUUUUGCAAAGCCAUUUCAACUCAUGAAUUAUUAAAGAAGCAAGAGGAAAUGGAAAGUGAAUAAGAAAAUUACUUGAAACGUCCCUGUGGAGUUGGACAAGCUUUCACGUAAUACCACAUAAUGGGCUUCCAGGGAUGGAGAGGGAGGAUAAAGGAUUCACUCUAAAAGUCACACACUCAUUUGGAAAAAAAUCUCAAUUUCAAGCAUACAUUAAGUUACAUACAUACAUUUUUUGUGUCUCUCCGAUUGACAAAGAUUAAAUAGUGUGAUUAUACCCAGUGCCGGUGAGGAUACAGG